UUUUGAAAUGGCUUGAUUUUAGGUAAAUUUUGGGUUCACAUGGCCUGGGAUACGGGUUGACGACAUGGCCAUGUGUCUUUUGAGAGUUUCUUAGUGUUUCAAGUCAAUGAGUUACAUGGCCUGGCACACGGGCGUGUGAGGCAACUCAGAGAGUUACAUGGCCUAACACACGGUCUAGCACAUGGCCUAGCACACAAGCAUGUGAGGC
rnacentral:lncRNA from 1 species